rnacentral:rRNA from 1 species
UGCAGAGGUCUCAAGCGUUGUUCGGAUUCAUUGGGCGUAAAGGGUGCGUAGGCGGCGCGGUAAGUCGGGUGUGAAAUCUCGGAGCUUAACUCCGAAACUGCAUUCGAUACUGCCGUGCUUGAGGACUGGAGAGGAGACUGGAAUUUACGGUGUAGCGGUGAAAUGCGUAGAUAUCGUAAGGAAGACCAGUGGCGAAGGCGGGUCUCUGGACAGUUCCUGACGCUGAGGCACGAAGGUCAGGGGAGCAAACUGG